GUUUGAUCCUGGCUCAGGACGAACGCUGGCGGCGUGCGUAAUACAUGCAAGUCGAGCGCGUGAAUCAACAUGAUCCCUUCGGGGUGAUUGUUGUGGAUCGAGCGGCGGACGGGUGAGUAACACGUGGGCAACCUACCCAUGAGAUCGGGAUAACUCCGGGAAACCGGAGCUAAUACCGAAUAACCCAGUGAACUGCAUGGUUCACUGGUAAAAGGCGGUUUCGGCCGUCACUCAUGGAUGGGCCCGCGGCGCAUUAGCUAGUUGGUAAGGUAACGGCUUACCAAGGCAACGAUGCGUAGCCGACCUGAGAGGGUGAUCGGCCACACUGGGACUGAGACACGGCCCAGACUCCUACGGGAGGCAGCAGUAGGGAAUCUUCCGCAAUGGACGAAAGUCUGACGGAGCAACGCCGCGUGAACGAUGAAGGUCUUCGGAUCGUAAAGUUCUGUUGUUGGGGAAGAACAAGUGCCAGAGGAAAUGCUGGUACCUUGACGGUACCCAACCAGAAAGCCACGGCUAACUACGUGCCAGCAGCCGCGGUAAUACGUAGGUGGCAAGCGUUGUCCGGAAUUAUUGGGCGUAAAGCGCGCGCAGGCGGUUCCUUAAGUCUGAUGUGAAAGCCCACAGCUCAACUGUGGAGGGCCAUUGGAAACUGGGGAACUUGAGUACAGAAGAGGAGAGUGGAAUUCCACGUGUAGCGGUGAAAUGCGUAGAGAUGUGGAGGAACACCAGUGGCGAAGGCGACUCUCUGGUCUGUAACUGACGCUGAGGCGCGAAAGCGUGGGUAGCAAACAGGAUUAGAUACCCUGGUAGUCCACGCCGUAAACGUUGAGUGCUAGGUGUUAGGGGGUUUCCGCCCCCUUAGUGC
rnacentral:rRNA from 1 species